CCGACCCUACGGGGGGCAGCAGUGAGGAAUAUUGGUCAAUGGGCGGGAGCCUGAACCAGCCAAGUCGCGUGAGGGAAGACGGUGCUAUGGAUUGUAAAUCUCUUUAGGCGGGGAGCAAUGCCGGGCACGUGUGCCCGGAGGGAGAGUACCCGCAGAAUAAGCAUCGGCUAACUCCGUGCCAGCAGCCGCGGUAAUACGGAGGAUGCGAGCGUUAUCCGGAUUUAUUGGGUUUAAAGGGUGCGUAGGCGGAUUUUUAAGUAAGCGGUAAAAUGUCCGG
rnacentral:rRNA from 1 species